rnacentral:rRNA from 1 species
AGCGAACGCUGGCGGCAGGCCUAACACAUGCAAGUCGAACGAACCUUUCGGGGUUAUUUGCGGACGGGUGAGUAACACGUGGGAACGUGCCUUUAGGUUCGGAAUAACUCAGGGAAACUUGUGCUAAUACCGAAUGUGCCCUUCGGGGGAAAGAUUUAUCGCCUUUAGAGCGGCCCGCGUCUGAUUAGCUAGUUGGUUGAGGUAAUGGCUCACCAAGGCGACGAUCAGUAGCUGGUCUGAGAGGAUGAUCAGCCACAUUGGGACUGAGACACGGCCCACACUCCUACGGGAGGCAGCAGUGGGGAAUCUUGCGCAAUGGGCGAAAGCCUGACGCAGCCAUGCCGGGUGAAUGAUGAAGGUCUUAGGAUUGUAAAAUUCUUUCACCGGGGACGAUAAUGACGGUACCCGGAGAAGAAGCCCCGGCUAACUUCGUG